GUGGGGAAUAUUGGACAAUGGGGGGAACCCUGAUCCAGCCAUGCCGCGUGUGUGAAGAAGGUCUUCGGAUUGUAAAGCACUUUAAGUUGGGAGGAAGGGUAGUAACCUAAUACGUUGCUACUUUGACGUUACCGACAGAAUAAGCACCGGCUAACUUCGUGCCAGCAGCCGCGGUAAUACGAAGGGUGCAAGCGUUAAUCGGAAUUACUGGGCGUAAAGCGCGCGUAGGUGGUUCAGUAAGUUGGAAGUGAAAUCCCCGGGCUCAACCUGGGAACUGCUUUCAAAACUGCUGAGCUAGAGUACGGUAGAGGGUGGUGGAAUUUCCUGUGUAGCGGUGAAAUGCGUAGAUAUAGGAAGGAACACCAGUGGCGAAGGCGACCACCUGGACUGAUACUGACACUGAGGUGCGAAAGCGUGGGGAGCAAACAGGAUUAGAUACCCUAGUAGUCC
rnacentral:rRNA from 1 species